UACAGAGGGUGCAAGCGUUGUUCGGAAUUACUGGGCGUAAAGCGUGCGUAGUCGGUAUUGAGAGUCGCGGGUGAAAUCCCAGGGCUUAACCCUGGAACUGCCUGCGAGACCUCAGUACUAGAGUGUGAGAGGGGAUAGUGGAAUACCAAGUGUAGCGGUGAAAUGCGUAGAGAUUUGGUGGAACACCGGUGGCGAAGGCGGCUAUCUGGCUCACAACUGACGAUCAGGCACGAAAGCGUGGGGGAGCAAACAGGG
rnacentral:rRNA from 1 species